GCCUUCGUGGUGUAGUGGUCAGCCCGCUCGACGGGUAACCGAGAUUUCCGUGGUUCGAUUCCCGUCGAAGGCA
rnacentral:tRNA from 1 species